GAUGAACGCUGACAGAAUGCUUAACACAUGCAAGUCUUUGGCGAAGCUGUGCUUGCACAGCCUAGCCAAGGCGGACGGGUGAGUAACGCGUAAGGAACUUGCCCUGCAGUCAGGGAUAACAGACGGAAACGACUGAUAAGACCUGGUAAAGUCAGGCGGACUCAUGUCCAGCCUGAUGAAAAGAGAUGCUGCAGGAGAGCCUUGCGUCCUAUUAGCUUGUUGGUGGGGUAACGGCCCACCAAGGCGAUGAUAGGUAGCCGGCCUGAGAGGGUGGACGGCCACAAGGGGACUGAGAUACGGCCCUUACUCCUACGGGGGGCAGCAGUGGGGAAUAUUGGACAAUGGGGGCAACCCUGAUCCAGCAAUUCUGUGUGCACGAUGAAGGUUUUCGGAUUGUAAAGUGCUUUCAGCAGGGAAGAAAAAAAUGACGGUACCUGCAGAAGAAGCGACGGCUAAAUACGUG
rnacentral:rRNA from 1 species